UACGUAGGGAGCAAGCGUUGUCCGGAAUCAUUGGGCGUAAAGCGCGUGUAGGCGGCCAUCUAAGUCGGGCGUGAAAUCCCACGGCUCAACCGUGGAAGUGCACUCGAAACUGGAUGGCUAGAGUCCUGGAGAGGAAGGUGGAAUGCUUGGUGUAGAGGUGAAAUUCGUAGAUAUCAAGCGGAACACCGGUGGCGAAGGCGGCCUUCUGGACAGUGACUGACGCUGAGACGCGAAAGCGUGGGGAGCAAACAGG
rnacentral:rRNA from 1 species